CUGGCUCAGGAUGAACGCUAGCGGCAGGCUUAACACAUGCAAGUCGAGGGGCAUCGGGAGUAGCAAUACUUGCCGGCGACCGGCGCAAGGGUGCGUAACGCGUGAGCAACAUGCCCGUAUCAGGGGGAUAAUCCAUGGAAACGUGGUCUAAUACCCCAUAGUAAUUAUGUAAGGCAUCUUAUAUAAUUUAAAGCUUUGGUGGAUACGGAUUGGCUCGCGUGACAUUAGCUGGAUGGUAAGGUAACGGCUUACCAUGGCUACGAUGUCUAGGGGUUCUGAGAGGAAGGUCCCCCACACUGGAACUGAGACACGGUCCAGACUCCUACGGGAGGCAGCAGUGAGGAAUAUUGGACAAUGGAUGGAAAUCUGAUCCAGCCAUGCCGCGUGCAAGGAAGACGGCCCUAUGGGUUGUAAACUGCUUUUGUAUGGGAGCAAUAAGGGCUACGUGUAGUCCGAUGAGAGUACCAUACGAAUAAGCACCGGCUAACUCCGUGCCAGCAGCCGC
rnacentral:rRNA from 1 species